rnacentral:rRNA from 1 species
AUUAAAUGAGAGUUUGAUCCUGGCUCAGGACGAACGCUGGCGGCGUGCCUAAUACAUGCAAGUAGAACGCUGAAGACUUUAGCUUGCUAAAGUUGGAAG